ACUUAACAAUCAAUUAUUUGAAAAGGGUAAGUUUUAAUUGUAAAAACAAGCCGUCUUAGAACGGAAGUUUGAUCAGUUAUGUAGCCCUAAACUUUAUUAUUUAUGAAGUUU
rnacentral:ncRNA from 4 species